AUGCGAAGGAGAAACGAGAUUUCACUGUGUAAAAGCCACUCGCUGAGGAGCCGGGACUACCUGUGCAGGGCCGACGAGUUUUCCCUCACUAAUCCAGAGGGCUGCACAGGGUUCAGCAAGAAAGAGUGCCUGAGAUGGAAUCAGCCUGCCAAGGUGCCGAGCUGGGGGACAGCGUCUAUUCCUGCCUGUGGACAACUCCACCUCCAAAGGAAGAGAAGUUGUCUUUGCUCUUGGGUUCUCCUGACCGACCCAGCUUGUCCCUCCCUCCAAACCUUCAGAUGCUUUCCCCUCAGAGGGUCUGAUUGUGAUCCUCCUCCUCUGGGACCUGGUAUCCACGUCCAUCAACGGGAAAUGCUGACAGUGGUAAGAAAACCCGCCCUCCCCUAUCUUGCAAGAUGCCAUAGAGGCAAAAUGACAUCUGUGUUAUGUGCUUCAAUUCCUGUAAAAACUUGUUUAUGAGAUUAGACUUUACUCUGCAAUUUUAAGUAUUGUGACUUGUGACUUUAUCAUGCACAGAUAAUACUUAACUUUCCACUCUAAUUGAAUAAUUUUGUUUGUCUAUUUUUUGUUUCUGUUUUUCUCUCCCUUGGAAAAGUAUGUAUAUUUUUUGUCAUAUAUUUAAUGGCCUUUAUCUCACAAUAAUCUGUCCAGAUAAACUCUUUUUUGAGACAAGAUCUUGCUUUGUCACCUGGGCUAGAGUGCAGUGGUGCGAUCACCGCCACUGCAGCCUCGACCUCCCAGGUUCAAGUGAUCCUCCCACCUCAGCCUUCAGAGUAGCUGAGAUUACAGGCAUAUGCCACCAUGCCCGGCUAAUUUCUGCAUUUUUGAUAGAGAUGGGGGUUUACCGUGUUUCCCAUGCUGGUGUUGAACUCCUGGGCUCAAGCAAUCCUCCGGCCUCGGCCUCCCAAAGUGAAUUUAUUUUUUAAAUAUUAUUAUUUUUUCUGACUAUAAGCAGAAAAAUGCAAGUACAUUGUAAACAUUCCAAAGAAAAUGCAGACUUGCAAAAGAUAGAAGACAUCUUUAAAACUUCUCUUCCUUUGAUAUUAGUCUUAUAUCUUUGUCUUCUAUGUCUAUGUCUUCUAUAUUUCAAACCAUCGCAUCAAAAGAACCACUGUCAAGAGCAGCACGUAUCUUUUCAGAAAACUUAACAAAGUAUUCGUCUACCUCCCUAUUACGUAUAUAUGUAUGCUUCUAUGCACUGUAGACUUUUCUGCAACUUGCUUUAGCUUAGAGUCAUCCCUCAGUAUCCAUGAGAGUUUGGUUCCAGGAUCCCCGCGAUACCAAAAUACAAGAAUUCUCAAGUCUCAGUCUGCCUCGCAGGAACCUGUGGAUACAAGAAAUCAGCCCACAGGUUUGGCAUCCGCAGUUUGUUGAACCAAGGAUGUGGAACCCGUAGAUCUGGCAGCAGCCUUUUGUUUUGGACAUCUUUCACUGCC
rnacentral:lncRNA from 1 species